UGGCAGUGUUUGUUAGCUGGU
rnacentral:miRNA from 1 species